UACGGGGGGAGCAAGCGUUGUUCGGAUUUACUGGGCGUAAAGGGCGCGUAGGCGGUCAGCACAAGUCAGUUGUGAAAUCUCCGGGCUUAACCCGGAAAGGUCAACUGAUACUGUGCGACUAGAGCACUGUAGAGGCAGGUGGAAUUCCGGGUGUAGCGGUGGAAUGCGUAGAGAUCCGGAAGAACACCGGUGGCGAAGGCGGCCUGCUGGGCAGUAGCUGACGCUGAAGCGCGACAGCGUGGGGAGCAAACAGG
rnacentral:rRNA from 1 species